AUGGACAUGAGGGCUCUUGCUCAACUACUAGGGCUCCUGCCUCUCUGCCUCCAAGGUGUCAUAGGCGACAUCCAGAUGACCCAGUCUCCAUCCUUGCUGUCUGCAUCUCCAGGAGAGAGAGUCACCAUCACCUGCCAUGCCAGUCAGGGUAUUAGCAAAUGGUUAGCCUGGUAUCAGCAGAAACCAGGGAAAGCUCCUAAGCUCCUUAUAUACACAGCAUCCAAUUUGGAAUCUGGAGUCCCAUCAAGGUUCAGUGGCAGUGGUUCUGGGACAGAUUUCACUCUUUCCAUAAGCAGCCUGGAGCCUGAAGAUGUUGCAACUUAUUACUGUCAACAAUAUGAUGAGCUUCCUCCACAGUGA